UUUUUUUUUUCCCAAAUCUUCAAAACCCUAGCCGCUCUCCCUUCCUCGGCGUCGGUCGUCGCUCGCCGGGCCGCCGUACACCGCCAGGCGCCUCUUCCGUCGCUACCGAGUUGCCGACCCUCUCACCGCGUCGGCUCCGUCGCCAUCGGAGCAGAAAAGGAGCAUCGCCCCUCGGGGAGGCCGCCGUCGAGCCUGACUCGGCUGCUGCCCGGCGUGCUUCGAGCCGCUCUUGCCAUCUCCGGCUGCUUCCGCCGUCUCCGGCGCUGACUCAUACUUAUGAGAUGAGUUUUUCCUAUCUUAAGCCUACUUUAGCUUACUUAUUAUGCAGAUUGCAACUUUGAAAAUUUUCCUUACUUGUUGAAAGUGGUUUAGUUGCUUAUUGGAAGGUGCUUAUAGAUCGACACUUGGCUGUGAUUGUUGAGCUUUAAGCUAUAGGAGUUGCUACUGUUAGGCUAUUGGCUUUUGGUAUUUUAUGCACUACUUGAGUUGCUGAGAUUGAGUGGAAAAGGCAUCCAAACCUCCUUAUACUAGUUUCUUUCCAUUGGUUUAUUUGGAAAUUAGCAUGCUAAAUGAGGUCUCUAUGUUGUGGUGCCUCUAAGUGAUGUUGUGGUUCAUGCUUGAGUUUGAGGAAGAAAAGAAAAGAGUGUGAAGGUUACCUUCUCGCACCACUCUGGUGUCUGCUUUUAGCUUCAGUCUCUCUCGCUCUUUACUUCACUAAAUUGCAAUGGUUUGUGGUGGUGGAGGGCAAGGCCGAUGGCGUCACACAUAUAUAUAGGGAGUGAGUAACUGAAAGCCUACAAGGCUGCUCAUGCGUGCAGAAAGUGGGGUCCUUAGGCUGAUCAUGUGGUGGCUAUUUCUACUGCAAUAGUGCAGGGUGACUGGGCUCUGCAAAUUAGUUAACUGAACUCUGCAGCUGGAGUGCUGCAUAUGUGAGUUUUUCUUGGACUGAAACAGCUGGACCAGGGCUGGGAGUGCAGGUUGUUGCACUCACGGAGCCAGAAAAUUACUCCCUCCGUUCCACGUUAAUAGAGGCGGAACUUUUGGGCACGGAGUCUAAGAAAUUGAUGUUUAGUGAGUUAAGUGGGUGUGUAAUAAAGUAGAUAAAGUGAUGUGAUGAGUGUCUUUUACUUUUUAAAUUAUUAUUAAUACUAUUGUUGUAAUGCUUUUUUUUUCUUCUCUAACUCAUAAACUGAAGAUAAAUUCGAUAAUUUAAAUGUUGAUGUUGAGAAUUAAA